rnacentral:rRNA from 1 species
AACGCGAAGAACCUUACCUGGGCUCGAAAUGUAGAGGACGAUAUCAGAGAUGAUAUUUCCCGAAAGGGCUUUUAUAUAGGUGCUGCAUGGCUGUCGUCAGCUCGUGCCGUGAGGUGUUUGGUUAAGUCCAGCAACGAGCGCAACCCUUAUCGUUAGUUGCCAGCGCGUAAUGGCGGGAACUCUAACGAGACUGCCUGGGUUAACCAGGAGGAAGGUGAGGAUGAUGUCAAGUCCGCAUGGCCUUUAUGUCCAGGGCUACACACGUGCUACAAUGGUCGGUACAGAAGGCGGCAAAGUCGCAAGACGAAGCAAAUCCUUUAAAACCGAUCUCAGUUCAGAUUGUAGUCUGCAACUCGGCUACAUGAAGUUGGAAUUGCUAGUAAUGGCGUGUCAGCAACAACGCCGUGAAUACGUUCCCGGGCCUUGUACACACCGUGUCGA